rnacentral:rRNA from 1 species
UACGAAGGUCCCAAGCGUUAUCCGGAUUUAUUGGGUUUAAAGGGUGCGUAGGCGGAUUAUUAAGUCAGUGGUGAAAGCUCUCAGCCUAACUGAGAAAUUGCCAUUGAUACCGAUGAUCUUGAGUACAUUUGAAGUGGGCGGAAUGUGUCAUGUAGCGGUGAAAUGCUUAGAUAUGACACAGAACACCGAUUGCGUAGGCAGCUCACUAAACUGUAACUGACGCUGAGGCACGAAAAGCGUGGGGAGCAAACAGG